GGCCCAGACUCCUACGGGAGGCAGCAGUGGGGAAUAUUGCACAAUGGGGGAAACCCUGAUGCAGCGACGCCGCGUGAGUGAAGAAGUCUUUCGGUAUGUAAAGCUCUAUCAGCAGGGAAGAAAAUGACGGUACCUGAUUAAGAAGCCCCGGCUAACUACGUGCCAGCAGCCGCGGUAAUACGUAGGGGGCAAGCGUUAUCCGGAUUUACUGGGUGUAAAGGGAGCGCAGGCGGCGUGACAAGUCAGAUGUGAAAACCCGGGGCCCAACCCCGGGAGUGCAUUUGAAACUGCCAUGCUGGAGUGCCGGAGAGGUAAGCGGAAUUCCUAGUGUAGCGGUGAAAUGCGUAGAUAUUAGGAGGAACACCAGUGGCGGAGGCGGCUUACUGGACGGUAACUGACGCUGAGGCUCGAAAGCGUGGGGAGCAAACAGGAUUAGAUACCCUUGUA
rnacentral:rRNA from 1 species